rnacentral:rRNA from 1 species
CACGCUGUAAACGAUGAGUGCUAGAUUUUGGUAGUCAAAUAUCAGAAUCGGAGUUAACAUAUUAAGCACUCCGCCUGGGGAGUACGUGCGCAAGCAUGAAACUCAAAGGAAUUGACGGGGACCCGCACAAGCAGCGGAGCAUGUGGUUUAAUUCGAAGCAACGCGAAGAACCUUACCAAGGCUUGACAUAUAUAUGGCCGGUAUAGAGAUAUACCUUUCUCUUUGAGACAUAUAUACAGGUGG